rnacentral:rRNA from 1 species
GACGAACGCUGGCGGCGUGCUUAACACAUGCAAGUCGAACGGAAAGGCCCUGCUUUUGUGGGGUGCUCGAGUGGCGAACGGGUGAGUAACACGUGAGUAACCUGCCCUUGACUUUGGGAUAACUUCAGGAAACUGGGGCUAAUACCGGAUAGGAGCUCCUGCUGCAUGGUGUGGGUUGGAAAGUUUCGGCGGUUGGGGAUGGACUCGCGGCUUAUCAGCUUGUUGGUGGGGUAGUGGCUUACCAAGGCUUUGACGGGUAGCCGGCCUGAGAGGGUGACCGGCGACAUUGGGACUGAGAUACGGCCCAGACUCCUACGGGAGGCAGCAGUGGGGAAUAUUGCACAAUGGGCGGAAGCCUGAUGCAGAAACGCCGCGUGCGGGAUGACGGCCUUCGGGUUGUAAACCGCUUUCGCCUGUGACGAAGCGUGAGUGACGGUAAUGGGUAAAGAAGCACCGGCUAACUACGUG